AGGCAGCCCCCUUGCGAAUUGAAAAACAAUGGUAAGGAGGGUGUUGUUCUACUCGGAAAUUAUUUUCUUUGGCUCUGAGAAAUUUAUUUCUCUGAAGCUGGUCUAGUAAGCUUAAGUACAUU